GCCGUCAUAGCUCAGUGGUAGAGCGUCAACCUGUGGCAGACAAAGAAAAGGGUAUGGGUUCCCUUGUUCUCCUCAGGACAGUUGAAGGUCGUGUGUUCGAUACUCACUGACGGCA